rnacentral:rRNA from 1 species
UACGUAGGGGGCUAGCGUUGUCCGGAAUCAUUGGGCGUAAAGCGCGCGUAGGCGGCCCGGUAAGUCCGCUGUGAAAGUCCAGGGCUCAACCCUGGAAAGCCGGUGGAUACUGCCGGGCUAGAGUCCGGAAGAGGCGAGUGGAAUUCCUGGUGUAGCGGUGAAAUGCGUAGAUAUCAGGAGGAACACCAAUAGCGAAGGCAGCUCGCUGGGACGGUACUGACGCUGAGGCGCGAAAGCGUGGGGAGCGAACAGG